rnacentral:rRNA from 1 species
UACGUAGGGACCAAGCGUUGUUCGGAUUUACUGGGCGUAAAGGGCGCGUAGGCGGCGCGGUAAGUCACUUGUGAAAUCUCCGGGCUUAACCCGGAGCGGCCAAGUGAUACUGUCGUGCUAGAGUGCGGAAGGGGCUACUGGAAUUCUCGGUGUAGCGGUGAAAUGCGUAGAUAUCGAGAGGAACACCUGCGGCGAAGGCGGGUAGCUGGGCCGACACUGACGCUGGAGGCGCGAAAGCGUGGGGAGCGAACAGG